UACGUAGGGUGCGAGCGUUGUCCGGAAUUAUUGGGCGUAAAGAGCUCGUAGGCGGUGUGUCGCGUCGGUCGUGAAAACUUGGGGCUUAACUCUGAGCUUGCGGUCGAUACGGGCAUCACUGGAGUUCGGCAGGGGAGACUGGAAUUCCUGGUGUAGCGGUGAAAUGCGCAGAUAUCAGGAGGAACACCGGUGGCGAAGGCGGGUCUCUGGGCCGAUACUGACGCUGAGGCGCGAAAGCGUGGGGAGCAAACAGG
rnacentral:rRNA from 1 species